rnacentral:rRNA from 1 species
AUUGAACGCUGGCGGCAGGCCUAACACAUGCAAGUCGAACGAGUGGCGGACGGGUGAGUAAUGUCUGGGAAACUGCCUGAUGGAGGGGGAUAACUACUGGAAACGGUAGCUAAUACCGCAUACCAUCAGAUGUGCCCAGAUGGGAUUAGCUAGUUGGUGGGGUAACGGCUCACCAAGGCGACGAUCCCUAGCUGGUCUGCGAGGAUGACCAGCCACACUGGGACUGAGAAAAGGGCCAGACUCCUACGGGAGGCAGGAGUGGGGAAUAUUGGACAAUGGGCGCAAGCCUGAGGCAGCCCUGCCGCGUGGAUGAAGGAGGGCCUUGGGUUUGAAAGUACUUUCAGCGGGGAGGCGUUACCCGCAGAAGAAGCACCGGCUAACUCCGUGCCAGCCGCCGCGGUAAUAC